CGUCACCUCCAGGCAGAGGAGCCCCCAUCUCUCAGUCUCUUUCCUUUGAUGCUCUUUAACCCCCCGCCCCUUUCCGUAUCACAUACCCACCUUAGUGUCAGCAGCAUCAGGCGGAUCAAGGAGCCCGGUUUCUAAAGGAAACCUGAACUCUUUUGGCUUUUGUUCUCCUUAAAUUUCUGAGCAUCUAUUUGAAAUCCCCUCCAAGUAACUUGGACGGGAAAGCUGGAUGUGCAUCCCUGAGUAGGGGGAAGGUAAGGACCACGGGAGUCACGCCUUGCCCCUUCUCCUGUCUCCUGUAAGGACACCGAGUCCUCCCCGUUUGCGAGCAGGUCUUUGAGAGUCACAGAGCAGAUGAGGGGAAGGGAGAGGAGCUGCACAGAGACAGACCCAGGCUUCUGAUUACCCACCUUCACCUGCCACUGGGAAGCUGGAGGAAGGAGUGCUUUAAACUGAUGCUACUGAGGCAUGCAUAAUAUCUGAACUUUACUGGUAAGAUGAGU
rnacentral:lncRNA from 1 species